AACGCAUAUUGCGCUCUCUGGUAUUCCGGAGAGCAUGCUUGUUUGAGUAUCAGUAAACACCUCAACUCCCUCUUUUCUUUUUUGAAAUGAGGGAGCUGGACUUGAGUGAUCCCAACACUUUUCUUCACUGAAAAGUGGCGGGUCACUUGAAAUGCAGGUGCAGCUGGACUUUUCUCUGAGCUAUAAGCAUAUCUAUUUAGUCUGCCUAAAAAACAGAUUAUUACCUUUGCUGCAGCUAACAUAAAGGAGAUGAGUUCUUGUGCUGACUGAUGCAGGAUUCACAGAGACAGCUUCGCGGCUGACUUUGUAAACUCGAUCUCAAAUCAAGUAAGACUACCCGCUGAACUUAA
rnacentral:misc_RNA from 1 species